rnacentral:lncRNA from 1 species
AGUGGAAAGAGUUUCAUCUAUGGUCCUUGGGCCUCUUAUUAGUAUGUGGCAGCUUCAACAUAGAAAAGGAUAUAAACUGCAGAUAUGGUACCAUAGAAACAAACAGUGACCUGAAUGACCAAUUUGGGAGGCACUUUCAUGGGAAACAACGUUGUCCUGGAACUCUCAAUUCAGACAAGACCAUUGUCAGGCAGGCAUCCAGUAACCUUUAUCCUUUUCAUUUAUUAAUCCCAUAUCCAAUGGGUGGUAAUUUAAUAAGAGUUGCCCACUAUUAUUUAAUUUUUAAUGAGCCCAACAUAUCUGACUCUCAAAACAUUAAAUCUCAGUAUUUGUUUCAACGUUCUGUGUCUUACUGUAUUGAGAAGAUAUUUCUGGUAAAAUCAAUUAAUUAAAAGUCACGAGGGGUCUGUCAUUCUGAAUCUUGAGCCAACAUGUGCCAUAUAAACACGAUUAAUAAAGAAAACCACCCUGGAGUAAAAGAGGUCAAUUGCUGCAUCAUGACAUUAAAAAUUGGAAUGUGACAUGUCAACAACUUUAAUUGAGUUAAGUGUUCCAUGAAAAGAAUAAAAUAAGUCAAAAUGAGAAACAAGCUUCUUCAUUAUUUCCAAAAUUGUUGAUGCAGGAAUUUUUUUUUUUUUUUUAAUGCGGGAGUAUUUCACAUCUCUGAAAUAACAUCAAAGUGUCAGUUGAUCUCUCUGAAAAAGAAUAUUAAACACCUCCAUCAAUAGAAAGGCUAAAACUUGAUGAGAUAUUUAUAGGAUCUUCAGUAAUUCCUGCUCUUUUUAAUUUUAAAAAGGUUAAUAAUAAUAAAUUCAACAAGAGAAUUUUAGAAGGUAUAAUUAUUUAUAAAUCCUAAAGAGGAUUUUUUCAAAAAGUGUGGGCUACUUUGCCUUUUAUUAAUCUGUUUCCCAACCAUCUUUCUCCACUUAUUAAAAAUGUAACUUUUUAUUUAAAAGAAACUACACAUUUGCAUAGCAUAAGAUGUGUAGAACUUGAGCGUUCCAGUUUGAUGGGUUUUGACAGUUGCGUAUGCUUGCAGAAAGAGGAUGCUUCACCAUCCCAGAAAGUUUCCUCAGGAUCCUUUCUAAGUAAUCCCCUUUCUUUUUUUUUUUUUUUUCUUUGAGACAGAGUCUUGCUCUGUCGCCCAGGCUGGAGUGCAGUGGCCGGAUCUCAGCUCACUACAAGCUCCGCCUCCCGGGUUUACGCCAUUCUCCUGCCUCAGCCCCCCGAGUAGCUGGGACUACAGGCGCCCGCCACCUCGCCCGGCUAGUUUUUUGUAUUUUUUAGUAGAGACGGGGUUUCACCGUGUUAGCCAGGAUGGUCUCGAUCUCCUGACCUCGUGAUCCGCCCGUCUCGGCCUCCCAAAGUGCUGGGAUUACAGGCUUGAGCCACCGCGCCCGGCCAGUAAUCCCCUUUCUACCAGUAAAUACAACUACUUUCUUAUUUCUACCACCAAAGAUGAGUUUUAUCUGAUUUAGAAUUUCAAUCAAAUGGAAUUGUACAAUAUGUACUUAAAACAGUGUUCUUGAGAUUCACCAGUGUGUCUGUGGAAAUAGUCUGUAUCAGUAGUUUGUUCGUUUUUAUCGCUGAUUAGUAUUCCAGUGUGUGGAUAUAGCACAAUUUGUUUUUCUGUUUUCAUAUUGAUAGACAUUUGGAUUGUUUCCAAUUUUUGUCUCACACCUUCAGAAGCUACUCUGUUAAAUUUCACUUCAUAGACAUGCAUGACCUUUUACCCUGCUGCUCUCCCACAUGAGCAGCCAAUGCUGUUUCUUGAUUCGUCUGAAGUGGUUGGGUAAUUUUAAAUGAGUAAUGGAAACAAAACAUGUUUGGCAUUGAUGAAGAAUUUAACUAUGGCUGUUAAUGCUUUAGAACCAUUGUACUUUCUUUAAAAGAAGCAUAAUUUAUUAGAGUUCCUGUUGAACA